AAUGACAUCAACGCCGACCUCCCUAAGCUCCUGGUGGUGGUCUUCCGGGAGCAAAAGUAGGUGUCUUCCGGGAGAAGGUGGAGGGACAACUGGACCGUGAUGCUUGUUUAGUUCAAGCCUUCCAACAGGGUUUGGCUCUCCGAUGUAGUCCUUGAUGAUGCACCUGAAACUCUCUACGUCGCCUGUGUCGCAGAAGGCAUGUCUUGCUGGGGGUAGAUUUAUGCAUAUAGAAGAGAGGUACUCAUAAGAUGGUGGAGGAGGCAAGCUACAUAUAGAAGAGAGGUACUCAUAAGAAUCAUCAUAUUGACUCUCAGCUUAAGUUAAGACAGCAUGGAUAUCAUUCUCAAGUUGCUGUUUCAAUACAAGUUACAUCCUUUUAUGUGUGGAUUUCCUUGAUAGCUUACACCCCCAUUUUUGACAAAGAAAAGUCUCAAGAGCAUUCAGAAAAGUUAUCUCGAGUGUUGCUGUCCUCAAGAUUUGUUAGUUUUGAAGUAUGGUUCAACUGUCAA